rnacentral:lncRNA from 1 species
UUCUUUUAUUUUUCCGAAUGCCGAUUGACAAUCAUUAUUUCACUUGACCGUUUGAUCUCUUUUUUUUUUCAACAGCUUGAAUGGGUUCACACGUGGCUGUUAGAUGAGAUGUGAACCGUGAAAUGCAGUUCAAUCUACCUAAGAAGCCACGAACCUCUUUUUCUGUUCUCGGUUCAGGCAUUUCUUGUAUCACUUUGCUUUUUUUUCUUUUUCCUUCUUUUUUUUUAGCAGGAUCGACCUCGAUUCCUUUUUUCCGCUCACAAUAAGCUUCAGCAACUUACCGGAUUGCACUCCGAAAGUGCACUCAUUCGAAUUCAACCUCAGUCUGAAUUGUCUCAGCCGGUCAAACAGCUUGGCCAG